rnacentral:rRNA from 1 species
ACUCCUGCGGGAGGCAGCAGUGGGGAAUUUUGGACAAUGGGCGAAAGCCUGAUCCAGCAAUGCCGCGUGAGUGAAGAAGGCCUUCGGGUUGUAAAGCUCUUUUGUCAGGGAAGAAACGGUGAAAGCUAAUAUCUUUUGCUAAUGACGGUACCUGAAGAAUAAGCACCGGCUAACUACGUGCCAGCAGCCGCGGUAAUACGUAGGGUGCAAGCGUUAAUCGGAAUUACUGGGCGUAAAGCGUGCGCAGGCGGUUUUGUAAGUCUGAUGUGAAAUCCCCGGGCUCAACCUGGGAAUUGCAUUGGAGACUGCAAGGCUAGAAUCUGGCAGAGGGGGGUAGAAUUCCACGUGUAGCAGUGGAAUGCGUAGAUAUGUGGAGGAACACCGAUGGCGAAGGCAGCCCCCUGGGUCAAGAUUGACGCUCAUGCACGAAAGCGUGGGGAGCAAACAGGAUUAGAUACCCCGGUAGUCCCAUG